CAACCGAGAUUCCCCCAGUAGCGGCGAGCGAACGGGGAGGAGCCCAGAGCCUGAAUCAGCAUGUGUGUUAGUGGAAGCGUCUGGAAAGGCGCGCGAUACAGGGUGACAGCCCCGUACACAAAAGCGCUUACCCAGCGCUUUGCCCGCGCGAAAGCGUUUACCCAUGUGCUAUUGCUGAACAGUCCGCAGGAGAUCCAGCCGACUAUCGAUACGCAAAAAGCGCUGCUGCUGGUACGCUUCCCGGCGGAUUUCU
rnacentral:rRNA from 1 species